rnacentral:rRNA from 1 species
CGGAAUUACUGGGCGUAAAGCGCGCGUAGGUGGCUUGAUAAGCCGGUUGUGAAAGCCCCGGGCUCAACCUGGGAACGGCAUCCGGAACUGUCAAGCUAGAGUGCAGGAGAGGAAGGUAGAAUUCCCGGUGUAGCGGUGAAAUGCGUAGAGAUCGGGAGGAAUACCAGUGGCGAAGGCGGCCUUCUGGACUGACACUGACACUGAGGAACGAAAGCAUGGGUAGCGAAGAGGAUUAGAUACCCUCGUAGUCCAUGCCGUAAACGAUGUGUGUUAGAUGUUGGAAAUUUAUUUUCAGUAUCGCAGCGAAAGCGUUAAACACACCGCCUGGGGAGUACGACCGCAAGGUUAAAACUCAAAUGAAUUGACGGGGACCCGCACAAGUAGUGGAGCAUGUGGUUUAAUUCGAAGAUACGCGCAGAACCUUACCAACACUUGACAUGUUUGUCGCGACUUUAAGAGAUUAAAGUCUUCGGUUCGGCCGGACAAAACACAGGUGCUGCAUGGCUGUCGUCAGCUCGUGUCGUGAGAUGUUGGGUUAAGUCCCGCAACGAGCGCAACCCUCACUUUUAGUUGCCAUCAUUUAGUUGGGCACUCUGAAAGAACUGCCGGUGAUAAGCUGGAGGAAGGUGGGGAUGACGUCAAGUCCUCAUGGCCCUUACGUGUUGGGCUACACACGUGCUACMAUGGCAUUUACAAUARGAAAGCARGAUGGSRACWUCAAGCAAAUCCUAAAAARAUGCCUCAGUUCGRAUUGUACUCUGCAACUCGAGUACAUGAAGCUGGAAUUACUAGUAAUCGCGGAUCAGCGCGCCGCGGUGAAUACGUUCCCGGGUCUUGUACACACCGCCCGUCACACCAUGGGAGUUGGUUCUACCUUAAGGCAAAGUUUAAUACCUUUGACCACGGUAUAGUCAGCGACUGGGGUGAAGUCGUAACAAGGUAGCCG